rnacentral:rRNA from 1 species
CCCCACUGCUAUCGGGGUGGGACUAAAACAUGCAAGUCGAGCGCCUCCAAGCUAUGGUGAAGGCGCGGCAAACGGCUCAGUAACACGUGGCCAACCUACCCUUGGGACGGAGACAACCCCGGGAAACUGGGGCUAAUCCCCGAUAAGUAAGGAAUCCUGGAAUGGAUCUUUGCUGAAAGGGCGUCUAGACCAUGCUUCUUGACGUCGCCCAAGGAUGGAGCCGCGGCCGAUCAGGUAGUUGGCGAGGCAACGGCUCACCAAGCCUAUAACCGGUACGGGCCGUGAGAGCGGGAGCCCGGAGAUGGGCACUGAGACAAGGGCCCAGGCCCUACGGGGCGCAGCAGUUGCGAAAACUCCGCAAUGCGCGAAAGCGUGACGGGGCUACCCCGAGUGCCGCCCGUUGAGGGCGGCUUUUCCAUGGUGUAAGGAGCCGUGGGAAUAAGGAGAGGGCAAGACUGGUGUCAGCCGCCGCGGUAAUACCAGCUCUCUGAGUGGUGGGGACGAUUAUUGGGCUUAAAGCGUUCGUAGCCGGCUUAACAAGUCUUCCGUUAAAUCCAACGAUCUAAUCGUUGGGCUGCGGGAGAUACUGUUGGGCUAGGAGGCGGGAGAAGCCGACGGUAUCCUCGGGGUAGGGGUGAAA